rnacentral:lncRNA from 1 species
GAAAGAAAGAAACUAUAUUCUGCAACCAUACUGUAAUAAAAUUAGAACUUGAUAACUAAAAUAUACUUAAAAUUGUAAGUGAACAAAUAUAUUUAUCAGUAACAUGGAUUUAAAAGGCAGUCGUGGAUGGGAGCAUCGCUGGAGUCCAGAAGAUGGAGGCUGCAGUGAGGCAUGAUUGCGUCACUGCACUCCAGCCUCAGCAAUAGAGUGGGACCCUGUGUCAAAUAAAUAAACAGCAGUUAUAAAGAAAAUUAACUCUUUUAGAACCAGGUGUUAAAAAUGUUAC